GGAUUUUUUAGUUUUCUUUUUGUGGUUUGGGAAAUUGUGAAAAGGGUUGCUGGGUUUUUGAGAUUUGGGAAGUGGGGAUGGUGAAUUUCUGGGUGUUUUUGUUGAUAUGUUUUGUGUCUUUGACGGCUUCUCGAGCUACUGGUAGUGUGAUUUUGAUUGGAAAUAACAGGACUUUGUCUUUUGAAGAUAUUGAAGCUAAUUUUGCUCCCUCACCAAAGGGUUCAGGAAAAUGUGGGAGGUUGUAUAUUGCGGAGCCUUUGGAUGCCUGCUCAACCUUGACUAACAAGAUUGAACCAACUAAUAACUUCACAAAAGAACCAUUUGUUCUGAUAAUCAGGGGUGGAUGUAGCUUUGAAGAUAAAGUUAGAAAAGCACAAGCUGCAGGUUUUAAAGCAGCCAUUAUCUAUGAUAGUGGAUAUGGAGAUAUAAUUGCAAUGGCAGGAACCUCUGCUGGUGUGAAGAUACUGGCAGUUUUCAUUUCAAAAGCUUCUGGAGAAGCACUCACACAGUAUGCUGGCUCGGAUACGGAAGUAUGGUUAAUCCCAAGCUUGGAAAACUCAGCUUGGUCAAUCAUGGCUACAUCUUUCAUUUCACUACUUUCUAUGUCUGCUGUACUUGCAAUGUGUUUCUUUGUUCGCCGACAUCAUAUACGAAGAGAACGGCCACGAGCUUCUCGUGUUCGCGAAUUUCAUGGGAUUAGUAGCCGUUUGGUUAAAGCUAUGCCAAGUUUGAUAUUUACGUCAGUUGUGGAGGAUAAUUCUACAUCAGUGACAUGUGCUAUAUGCCUUGAAGAUUAUACUGCUGGAGAUAAGCUUAGAAUUCUUCCAUGCCGGCACAAAUUUCACACUAUGUGUGUUGAUGCUUGGCUGACAUCAUGGAGAACCUUUUGCCCUGUCUGCAAACGGGAUGCAAGAACUAGCACUGGUGAUCCACCACCUUCAGAAUCCACACCAUUGCUUUCAAGCGCUCCCAGUUCUGUUGCUUCAUCCUCAAUAUUAUCUUCCGUGAGAUCAUCAUUACCACCAAGCUCAGCCAUUCAAAUAUCCCCAGCAUCAAGAUCGCCUUCGGUAUCUCGGAACCACUCUCUCUCAAGCACCCCUUACCUUCAGCAGUCUCUGAGAUCCUCCUACCGUCAAUC
rnacentral:misc_RNA from 1 species